CGAUGAUACGCGAGGAACUUACCUGGGCUCAAAUGUAUGUUGACGUAUUCUGAAAGGGAUACUUCUUCGGACAAUAUACAAGGUGCUGCAUGGUUGUCGUCAGCUCGUGCCGUGAGGUGUCGGGUUAAGUCCCAUAACGAGCGCAACCCCUAUCAUUAGUUGCCAUCAGGUCAAGCUGGGGACUCUAAUGAAACUGCCUACGCAAGUAGUGAGGAAGGUGGGGAUGACGUCAAGUCAUCAUGGCCCUUACGGCCUGGGCUACACACGUGCUACAAUGGUCGGUACAAAGGGUUGCCAAGCCGCGAGGUGGAGCUAAUACCCAUAAAACCGAUCGUAGUCCGGAUCGCAGUCUGCAACUCGACUGCGUGAAGUCGGAAUCGCUAGUAAUCGUGAAUCAGAAUGUCACGGUGAAUACGUUCCCGGGCCUU
rnacentral:rRNA from 1 species